rnacentral:rRNA from 1 species
UGAGGAACAUGACCUUCGGCGGGGGAGUAGCCGGCCCAACGGCCGGGUAAUACCGCGUACGACCACAUGGGGACAUCCCUGAGUGGUGAAAGCAGCAAUGCGCCGAUGGAGUGCCUCGCGGCCUAUCAGCUAGUUGGUGAGGUAACGGCUCACCAAGGCAACGACGGGUAGCUGGUCUGAGAGGAUGGCCAGCCACAUUGGGACUGAGACACGGCCCAGACCUNUACCGGGAG